rnacentral:lncRNA from 1 species
GUUUGUUUAACCAAGUAACUCAAUUCUCGAUCCAACAUAGAGAGAGAUGCCCAAUUGUUCAAGGUCAUGACCCGUUUUAGACCCAUUCAUAUCAAAAUUCAAUUGAAUCAAUUGUUGACCCAAACCCAUUCAUUCAUUUCAAAAUUUCUACCCUUCAUGACUUUGUCUGUGACGAUUUCACACUUCGCCACCCACUUCCCUCUCCACCGGUGACAAAGCCCGUCGUUCCCUUCCCUCUCCGUCAACCGUCGUCUUAGACAGUCGUCACAGUACAACCGUCGUUCCUUUUCCCUCUCCGAUAGUCCAUUAUUGUAUAUCUCCUACUCUAGGCUCUCAUCUUGACAUCUCACAUCUCUGACUCCGACUUUACAUCCUCAGCUCCGCCAAGGCACCAAGUGCCAAUGCCAACCAGCCGAGCCGACAAAAAAAGAAGCCAGAUUCCAGAAAGCAAAAGGCGAAGCCCCAUAUUUUUUUCCCUUAUUUUUUUUUGGUUAUUUCAAUGUGUAAAUUGUAAUAAUUUUUUUUUUUGUUUUUUGUUUUUAACAUAUUAAAUUAGCACUUUGUUCUUUAAUUGCUCGAAGCGGCACAAACUUCCAGUGGGCCACCAGUUCAUUGUUGCCUCUGGGCUCUGGCUCUCUGGGAAUCUGUGAUUGCAAGUUCAAGUUGCCAAGUAUUUGGAAAUAGUAUAUAUUGCAUUGCGAGAUUGUGAAUUGAUUUUGUGAAAUUGUGAAUUGCACUAGUUUUUUGAGUUGCUUCCAGUAUUUGUGAUUCAUUUGACAUCUCGAAUUACUCCCACUCCUAGUAGUAAUUGGGUGAUCAGGGGAUGAAUAAUAGCACAAUUGUUUAUGUGGAGAAAGAUAUAUUUUUCAAGUUCAAUAAUGAAGUUAUUAUACAACGAUAUCAAAGUAUGAAAACUCGCAAAGAGCAAGUGUAAUAUAUAAAUUAUGUCGUUUUUAGUAUUGAUGUACUGUUGUUUUAUUUCCUUAUCGUCAUUAAAUCCCUGACCAAAACCUCGACAUUCGUCGUCAAAAAAAUUUUGCCCGCACUGAACUAAAAUCCUGGCUCCGCCCCUGCCCGUUA